CCAAAGAAUAUGACUGUGGUGCCCACAGCCCUAAUCUUGGCCAUCACUGUGGGAUCGAUCCACUGUGGGAAGAAAUAGAAUUGGGUUGGUGUUAAUGCUUCCUGAUGCUUCCGUUGUUAUGGUGAUGCACUCGUUGCUAUGGUGAUGGUGCCAUUGCCAUGGAGAUGCAGUGACUCUUACAGCGACAGAGUUAAGAGAUUAUCAUGACUGGGGACAACACUUGGAGGCUCUUGUGUUGUGGACUGUGUGUGGAGGAGGAGGCUGGUUACGUCACUCACCCCGUGACACAACAACCACAUCACUGCUGCAACACUUGCGUUUAACAAAGCACUUGAGGGAGAGCCACUUGUACGAGCAGGAGGGACGCAACUUAAUGUUGGUAAACUGAUCUUGAUGUAAGGAAUUAAACUCUUUUGCCUUUGGAUCAAACCUGAUUACCUCCUGUUCCCCAGGCACUGUGGGACCUCUGCUAGUUAAGCACUUCCUCAAUAAAGUAAUAAUAGUG